rnacentral:rRNA from 1 species
GUGGGGAAUAUUGGACAAUGGGCGCAAGCCUGAUCCAGCCAUGCCGCGUGAGUGAUGAAGGCCCUAGGGUUGUAAAGCUCUUUCACCGGUGAAGAUAAUGACGGUAACCGGAGAAGAAGCCCCGGCUAACUUCGUGCCAGCAGCCGCGGUAAUACGAAGGGGGCUAGCGUUGUUCGGAAUUACUGGGCGUAAAGCGCACGUAGGCGGGUAUUUAAGUCAGGGGUGAAAUCCCAGAGCUCAACUCUGGAACUGCCUUUGAUACUGGGUAGCUAGAGUAUGGAAGAGGUAAGUGGAAUUCCGAGUGUAGAGGUGAAAUUCGUAGAUAUUCGGAGGAACACCAGUGGCGAAGGCGGCUUACUGGUCCAUUACUGACGCUGAGGUGCGAAAGCGUGGGGAGCAAACAGGAUUAGAAACCCGUGUAGUCC